rnacentral:rRNA from 1 species
CAGGACGAACGCUGGCGGCGUGCUUAACACAUGCAAGUCGAACGGAGUAUUGAAGAAGCUUGCUUAGAGAUACUUAGUGGCGGACGGGUGAGUAACGCGUGAGGAGCUGUCCUAUGCAGGGGGACAACAGCUGGAAACGGCUGCUAAUACCCCAUAAGCCGAGAGGUAAAAGGAUCAAUCCGGCAGAGGAGGUACUCGCGUCCUAUCAGCUAGUAGGUGAGGUAACGGCUCACCUAGGCGAAGACGGGUAGCCGGCCUGAGAGGGCGAACGGCCACACUGGAACUGAGAUACGGUCCAGACUCCUACGGGAGGCAGCAGUGGGGAAUAUUGGGCAAUGGGGGAAACCCUUGACCCAGCGACGCCGCGUGGGUGAAGAAAUCCUUCGGGAUGUAAAGCCCUGUUGUAUGGGAAGAGCGGAAGACGGUACCAUACGAGGAAGCCCCGGCAAACUACGUGCCAGCCGCAGC